rnacentral:rRNA from 1 species
UCCGUAGGCGGUCGACUAAGUCAGAGGUGAAAUCCCACAGCUUAACUGUGGAACUGCCUUUGAUACUGGUUGUCUUGAGUUAUAGUGAAGUAGAUAGAAUAUGUAGUGUAGCGGUGAAAUGCUUAGAUAUUACAUAGAAUACCGAUUGCGAAGGCAGUCUACUAACUAUAUACUGACGCUAAUGGACGAAAGCGUGGGGAGCGAACAGGAUUAGAUACCCUGGUAGUCC